UUCCAGAAGAUCCAAUGCCCUCUUCUGGCCCCCUUGGGCACCAGGCAUGCACAUGGUGUACAUAGACAUACAUGCAGGCAAAAUAGCCAUACAUAUAAAAUAAAAAGAUCUUUAAGCUUUCCGCCAGAGCAGCCAUCUUCCAGUGAUUCGCCAAAAUGACAAACACAAAGGGAAAGAGGAGAGGCGCCCACUACAUGUUCUCUAGGCCUUUUAGAAAACAUGGAGCUGUUCCUUUGGCCACAUAUAUGUGAAUCUACAAGAAGGGUGAUAGUGGAGACAUUAAGGGAAUGGGUACUGUUCAAAAAGGAAUGCCUCAUAAAUGCUACCAUGGCAAAACUGGGAGCGUCUACAACGUCACUCAGCAUGCUGUUUUCAUUGUCCUAAACAAGCAAGUUAAGGGCAAGACUCUUGCCAAGAGAAUUAAUGUGCAUAUUGAGCAUAUUAAGCACUCUAAGAGCCAAGACAGCUUCCUGAAGUGUGUGAAGGAAAAUGACCAGAAAAAAAUGGAAGCUAAAGAGAAAGGAACCUGGGUUCAGUUGAAGUGCCAGCCCACCCCACCCAGAGAAGUACAUUUUGUGAGAACUAACGGAAAGGAGCCUGAGCUGCUGGAGCCUGUUCCCUAUGAGUUCAUGGCUUAAUGUACAAGAAGAAAUAAAAGACCUAGAGGUAAAAUAAAUAAAU